rfam:Mesocricetus auratus contig030288, whole genome shotgun sequence.
GAAUGUGAGGGCGGUCUGGCUUCGACAUCUGGACUGCCAGGGUUGACUCAGCUGACCUGGCUGGCUAGGUGGGUGUCCCCUUCCUCCCUUACCACUCCAUGUGCAUCCCUCAUGAACCUGUGUGCUUGGGUAAAGAGGAAUACCUUCCCCGAAUGGAGGAGGACCAGUCUUCAGUCAAGUGUACUCAAGCAGCUGUUCUCCCCUGCUACAACCUCCAAACAAGCUCUCAAGGUUCUGUUCUGUUCUUUUCUUUUGGGACUGGGUCUCUCUACUUAGUCCUAGCUGUCUUGGAACUCACUAAGUAGACCAGCUGGCCUUGAACUCAU